CCUACGGGAGGCAGCAGUGAGGAAUAUUGGUCAAUGGACGAGAGUCUGAACCAGCCAAGUAGCGUGAAGGAUGACUGCCCUAUGGGUUGUAAACUUCUUUUAUAAAGGAAUAAAACGAGGCACGUGUGCCUGUUUGCAUGUACUUUAUGAAUAAGGAUCGGCGAACUCCGUACCAGCAGCCGCGGUAAUACGGAGGAUCCGAGCGUUAUCCGGAUUUAUUGGGUUUAAAGGGAGCGUAGAUGGGUUGUUAAGUCAGUUGUGAAAGUUUGCGGCUCAACCGUAAAAUUGCAAUUGAUACUGGCAGUCUUGAGUACAGUUGAGGUAGGCGGAAUUCGUGGUGUAGCGGUGAAAUGCUUAGAUAUCACGAAGAACCCCGAUUGCGAAGGCAGCUUACUAAACUGUGACUGACAUUGAUGCUCGAAAGUGUGGGUAUCAAACAGGAUUAGAUACCCCAGUAGUC
rnacentral:rRNA from 1 species